AACGCAUCUUGCGCCCUUUGGUAUUCCGAAGGGCAUGCCUGUUUGAGUGUCAUGAAAGCAUCAUCCCAUCGGGUUUCCGAUGGCAUGGACUUGGGUGUUGCCGUCUGGCUCGCCUCAAAAGCCUUAGUGGUUCGAGUCGAAUCUGGCGUAAUAAGUUUCGCUGGCCUAGACGAAAGACUGCUUUACCCGUCUUCUGACAUCUUUUGCUCUGACCUCAAAUCAGGUAGGACUACCCGCUGAACUUAA
rnacentral:misc_RNA from 1 species